rnacentral:rRNA from 1 species
GACGAACGCUGGCGGCGUGCUUAACACAUGCAAGUCGAACGGAAAGGCCUCUUUCGGGGGGUACUCGAGUGGCGAACGGGUGAGUAACACGUGAGUAACCUGCCCUUGACUUUGGGAUAACUUCAGGAAACUGGGGCUAAUACCGGAUAGGAGCUCCUGCUGCAUGGUGGGGGUUGGAAAGUUUCGGCGGUUGGGGAUGGACUCGCGGCUUAUCAGCUUGUUGGUGGGGUAGUGGCUUACCAAGGCUUUGACGGGUAGCCGGCCUGAGAGGGUGACCGGCCACAUUGGGACUGAGGUGCGGCCCAGACUCCUACGGGAGGCAGAAGGGGGGAAGAUUGCACAAUGGGUGGAAGCCGGAUGCAGCAACGCCGUGUGCGGGAUGACGGCCUUCGGGUUGUAAACCGCGUUCGCUCAUGACGAAGCUUUGUGUGACGGUAGUGGGUAAAGAAGCACCGGCUAACUACGUG